CAUCAUGACAAGGAACUUGAAUUGGGUGUAAACAACAAUGCCUUAACCAUCACAAAAAAAGAAACUAUUUGUGCUGACAGACAAUUGUCAUUUCAGAAGCAAUUGUACCAUUGUUUCAACAUGACUGGAUGAAAUAUUAGUGCUAGUCUGACUCAGGAAAAAAAAAAAAAACAUGUGAGAACACCUGCCUUUUCAGUCAGUUGUCAGUUUAUACUGACAAAACAGAAACACUAGAAUCUAGAAACACCUACAUAUUUUUACACUUCAAUAGUAGGUGUAGUGUUAUUUUCACAGCAAAGAUUGUAGUACUGACAUAAUUGCAGUACUGACAUACUGGCUGGGGGGGGUUACUUAAUAACAAAAAUUACAUUAAAAUAAAUAAGAAGAGUUUACACCAGUUAUCCUAUCCAGAAGUUUACAUCUAAUUUGGUGUAAGAUUAUGGCAAAAUCUCACUUUUAGUCAGUCAAUCUGUUCACAAGCCUACUUCAGAAUGUGAAAAAACAUUUGACUGAAUUAUAGACACCUGUGGCUGCCACAAGUCACUGUCAAAACCUAGUGCAAACCUUAUUGUUCAGUGCUGAUAAGUACACACACAUUUUUUUAUAUAUAUUUCAUUCUAAACUACUUCCUUCCCCAAAACCUCAGCUGUCUUGUUUCUUGCCUUGUAGUCUAGAACAGGAAACAGGUAAACUAAUCCCUUCUAACCACCCCUGCUAAAGUAACUAUUAGGGGAAGUAUAUUCUGUUUGAGAAUGAAGCAUUCUUCUACUCUCCUGUAUUGCUUAUUCUGGGCUCUGGGCGAAAUAGGCUAUUCCCCCAAGUCCACGUUAUGGUAAUCACAUCGAACAUGCAAAACUCUAACAUAACAAGCGAGUCAUUAAACUAUUGUAUAGCCAAUUUUGUUUACAAAAACUUCGGUACACUGUUAAUUUCUAAAAACUAGAAAAAUAAGCAGAGUGAAGUUUAAAGUAUUUGUGUACAAUAUAUACUGUAUGUUGUUAAUUGUAUCUACAACUGUAAAUAUUAUUUUAACUGUAACACGUGAACUGUUAAUAAGAAAGUUAUUGAGUAAAAACAAUAACAGCAAUUCUGAAGGGUUUGUCUUGUGUUAUGUUGUGAAUUAACGCUACUGACAGCAGGCCCUUAUCCUCAGCCGGCUGUGUGAGCUGGAACAAAAACAAAGUAAACUUCAUAGUUAACUAGCCAACAGGAAUAAAACGCGUCGUCAGAUUUUAACAGAAAGGAUUAUUUUUGCUGCUUUUCAUAGAAAUCAGUGUGUAUUUAACAAGGUCCAGGGGAUGUGGUUGCAUCCACAUCUUGGGGGUGGAAAUGGUAGGUUUAGGGGAGGAGAGAGGAGAUGGGUGUGUUUAGGUAUCAGGGGGUGGAGAUGGGUAGGUUUAGGUAUGUAAGGUGGGAGGAGUUGGAUUUGGAUACAACCUUGCCCCCUGGAUCUUGUGUUCUGCAGUGAGGACCAUCUCGAAAUUUUUUUGCUUUUGUUGUCUGUCGGAAGUUUCAUAUUGACUCCUCACAAAAGGGGGGGAAUUGUCAUUCGGUGAAAAUCUUCUGUAGGCUACUAAAAAGUUACAAGUAAGCAAAAGGUUAUUUGUUAAAUAAUGAAAUAAGUCAUUUUUAUUUAACUUUUGUUAAGUAUUUUAAAUGAGUUUUUUCCACUUUGCAUAACAAACUUUUCAUUAUUUUUUAUUUUAAAAAAUGCAUAUUUUCUUUAAAGUGGAUUUUACAUAGGAUGUUCCCAUUUUAUACACAAAUAAUAAUAAUAAUAAUAAUCACUGUUUUGAGGCAAAAUGAGAACAAAACAUAAAUUAUUUUAUCUAGGGCCGAGCAGCCAUUGGGGGUUAACAGCACACAUUUAUUUUUGGUUUUUGCUAUAUGGUAUAGUAUGGACUUUGUAUCCCAGCUAGUAAUUAGGUGUUUGGCCUCAUCUUCUGUAAAUGCAGAUAAGCAUGUUAUGUUAUGUUAUGUCAGCCCACUACAGGGGCUGCAGUCACACACGUGUGUCCAUCAGUGCUCUCCUGUCUGUUUGCUGUCUGGAAGUGGCUGACUUCCGUCUUUCCCUGUGGGGCCAAUGGGUGCACAGAAAUGGACAAUCACUCUGUGGAUUUGUCUCUCUCUGUUGUGGAGACCCGACCAGAACCAGUCCAGAGUUCAGUGCGUCCAUGUCCAUUCACUCACUGAGGAUGAUGAGGAUGAUGAUGCCUCAUGAAAAUGCACUUUUUUUCUUGACUUUCUUUGAAAUGGUUUCUGUGGUCAUUUAUUAAAAGGGUGAUUACAAAAAUAAGACUUUUUAAAAAAAUGUUUAUAUUUCCAUAUGGAUUUCCCAAACUGAAAGCGUUUUCUCUAAUUUAAUAAUUAAAUCGAUUCAAUAAUUUAAAAGUAAAUUUGAAGUAAUUAAACGUGGCAUUUGUAACAUGACAAUUUAGCGCCAUCUACCUGAAAACAUUAGCUUUUCAUAAUUUGAAUCAUAAAUAAUUCUUCAAAGGCUACUUAGAACAUUUUUUUUUUACAUCCAAGAAUCAUUUUACAUCCAUGACGUUAUGGAUGUUGAUCCAGGAACAUGUUGCACUUGGUGAAAUCACGAUCUCGGACCUGCAGAUUUCACCGCGUUAUACUAGUUUGAGUAACUGUUAAUGUCAGGGGCUGCUGUCGCACCGGACAUUUGCAUUUUAUAUAAAAUGGUUUCUGUGAUUACUUAUUAAAAGGAUGAUUAUGAAAAGAAGAUUUCAUUCUUUUUCAAAGUUUUGUUCUUAAUUUCCUGAACGCAUCAAAAAUAAAUCACUCACUUAGGUCUACCUAAAAGGUGAUAUUUUUACAUUAAUGUCUGAAAUGACGUUAAAAAACCGUAUGCUUUCGUGUUGUUAAGCGAGGCUGUAGAAAUAUGAACUUCUUAGGGGUACUUAAAGUAAUUAUAUUAGCUUAAAGGAUUUUGGCUGACAAAACAUUGGUUCACUUUAUACUAGAAUGGUUGUUUAGCCCACCGGAUCUAAAUUAUUUUACGGCACGUUAAUGCAGAAAAUGUGUGGGUGCAAGGGCUUACUUACCAAACACUGUUAAGAAUAUAAAUGUGAAGUAUAAAAUAAGAACAUUUGUGCAUUUUGAUCUGGUCUGUUACUAGACGUUUAUCCGCGAUGCGGAAGUUUUUUUCUGACGUCCUUUGGGUUAAAUAUUCAUGGGCGUUUAUUGCCUGCGUCCAAUCACAGACUAGCAAUAAGUUAGUAAUGUAAAUUUCGUCUGCCUAAUAUGGUCACAUACGUCACACUUUCUCAAUAUUACUUUCCCACUAGCAGCAUGACUUCUCUCAGCCCGUGUAUGUACAGGGGUUGGACAAUAAAACUGAAACACCUGUUUUUUUAAAAACAAUUAGUACGUUGUUGAGCCUUUUUGUGCCCAAUGCAGCAUCAUUUCAUCCUGGGAAUGACAAAUAUAAGUCCUGCACAGUAGCCAGAAGGAUUUUAAGCUAUUCUCCUCUUGCAAAAAAAAAAAAAAAGUGGCCAGGUCACUACGUGAUGCUGGCGUAGGAAAACUUUUCCUAACUCGCUCUUCCAAAACAUCCCUCAAUAAUAUUCAGAUCUGGUGACUGUGCAGGCCAUGGGAGAUGUUCAUCUUCACUUUCAUGUUCAUCAAAUCACUCUUGUCACCAGCCUUGUUGUGUGUAUUGGUGCAUUAUCAUCCUGAUACAAGGCACUACUUUCAGGGUACAAUGUUUGAUCCAUUGGGUGCACAUAGUCAACCUUCACUCUCUGCUCUUACUGGUGCAGUGUGCAAUCAGUGAAGAUAGGCCACCAGGCUGUGCAAACAUAUCCAUGAAACCUCCAACACUAUAUUGGCCAGUGUUUCAGUUUCAUUGUCCAACCCCUGUAUGUUUCUUCAGCCUGUGUACUUGUCUGCCGAUGAACAUCGAGCAUGCACACAAAUACGACAAGUGAGUCCUAUUUCAUAUAUUUUAAUCAUUAAACUUCAGUAAAAACGGUAACUUGUAAAAAUGAAAAAAUAAAUAAAUAAAUAAAUAAGUGGAGCAAAGUUUAAAGUAGUUUGUGCAAAAUAUUUUGAUCUGACGUUUUGGGAAACCAUUUUCCAAACAACUUUAAUUUGAUAGCGAAUGGACUUACUAACGAUGACUUAUACAGCAUUUAUUAAUCUUAGAUAGGCCUAAGUUCUUCGAUUAAUGGAAAUGAGUUGUCUAAUGUUCUAAUGACCUGGGGCCAUAUUCACCAACAUUCUUAAGGCUAAAAGUUGCUCCUAAUGCAGAAACUGAAAAAGAGCUUCACUGCUCAGUAGGACUCAACUAGAGUAAUGUAAAAGGUCUUAAUUUCUAUAGAUGGAGGACAUUUUUCUAGUUCCAUUCUGAUCUAAACUAUAUCUCUGUCUAUAAGAAAUACUUUAGAACAUAAUUGUGAUCAGAUUACCUGAAACAAAUCACUUCAAGAGCCAAUCACUGUUCUGUAUUUUGAUUUUCAUUUGAUUGGAAUUGAAACAAUUAGCUUGGUCACUUUAAUUCACCAUUUGUCAACAUUUAAAUAUAUUUACCUCCAAGUGAAAAGUUGAAAAUCAAAAUGUUUAUGUAUGGAGCAAGUUUAUUUUUAAACAAACCAUGUGCAGAAUGAUUGCCUAUUGUUAGUAAAAUAGUGUGUUGUAUCUGAAUAUGUUAAUAAUUAAAUUAUUUGCAUGUUUUUGAAUGUUUAAAAUUAUGUCAAGAAAUGUGUUUAUAUGUAUAAACCUGAAAUGUGUAAAUUUAUCUCUGACUUCAGUAUUGUGUUAUUUGUGCUGACUGUUGAAGCUCAUCACUGGUUUAUGAAUUUCCUCAGGUCUUUUCAUGUGUCACAUGAUUUUUUUAUUAAGAAUAUUGUACUGCCGUGUUGGCCCUUACUAAAGUCAGUUUUCUGUUGUUCUCUUUACAGACCUGUGCCUUUAAAGAAACUAUGUUUGUGAAAGAAAAUUGCUUGUAGAAAAGACCCUGACGAUCAGCUUGUGAACACCUGACUUGCUACUGAGCAUUUGGACUGUAUGCAAUGACUCAUGCUUCCUCUUGAACUGAGACGUCGAAACAACAUUUUGUUUUUUGAUUUUGUGAGAAAAUUGUUUCUCACUUUGUUGUUUCUUGCCUUGUAGUCUAGAACAGGAAACAGGUAAACUAAUCCCUUCUAACCACCCCUGCUAAAGUAACUAUUAGGGGAAGUAUAUUCUGUUUGAGAAUGAAGCAUUCUUCUACUCUCCUGUAUUGCUUAUUCUGGGCUCUGGGCGAAAUAGGCUAUUCCCCCAAGUCCACGUUAUGGUAAUCACAUCGAACAUGCAAAACUCUAACAUAACAAGCGAGUCAUUAAACUAUUGUAUAGCCAAUUUUGUUUACAAAAACUUCGGUACACUGUUAAUUUCUAAAAACUAGAAAAAUAAGCAGAGUGAAGUUUAAAGUAUUUGUGUACAAUAUAUACUGUAUGUUGUUAAUUGUAUCUACAACUGUAAAUAUUAUUUUAACUGUAACACGUGAACUGUUAAUAAGAAAGUUAUUGAGUAAAAACAAUAACAGCAAUUCUGAAGGGUUUGUCUUGUGUUAUGUUGUGAAUUAACGCUACUGACAGCAGGCCCUUAUCCUCAGCCGGCUGUGUGAGCUGGAACAAAAACAAAGUAAACUUCAUAGUUAACUAGCCAACAGGAAUAAAACGCGUCGUCAGAUUUUAACAGAAAGGAUUAUUUUUGCUGCUUUUCAUAGAAAUCAGUGUGUAUUUAACAAGGUCCAGGGGAUGUGGUUGCAUCCACAUCUUGGGGGUGGAAAUGGUAGGUUUAGGGGAGGAGAGAGGAGAUGGGUGUGUUUAGGUAUCAGGGGGUGGAGAUGGGUAGGUUUAGGUAUGUAAGGUGGGAGGAGUUGGAUUUGGAUACAACCUUGCCCCCUGGAUCUUGUGUUCUGCAGUGAGGACCAUCUCGAAAUUUUUUUGCUUUUGUUGUCUGUCGGAAGUUUCAUAUUGACUCCUCACAAAAGGGGGGGAAUUGUCAUUCGGUGAAAAUCUUCUGUAGGCUACUAAAAAGUUACAAGUAAGCAAAAGGUUAUUUGUUAAAUAAUGAAAUAAGUCAUUUUUAUUUAACUUUUGUUAAGUAUUUUAAAUGAGUUUUUUCCACUUUGCAUAACAAACUUUUCAUUAUUUUUUAUUUUAAAAAAUGCAUAUUUUCUUUAAAGUGGAUUUUACAUAGGAUGUUCCCAUUUUAUACACAAAUAAUAAUAAUAAUAAUAAUAAUAAUCACUGUUUUGAGGCAAAAUGAGAACAAAACAUAAAUUAUUUUAUCUAGGGCCGAGCAGCCAUUGGGGGUUAACAGCACACAUUUAUUUUUGGUUUUUGCUAUAUGGUAUAGUAUGGACUUUGUAUCCCAGCUAGUAAUUAGGUGUUUGGCCUCAUCUUCUGUAAAUGCAGAUAAGCAUGUUAUGUUAUGUUAUGUCAGCCCACUACAGGGGCUGCAGUCACACACGUGUGUCCAUCAGUGCUCUCCUGUCUGUUUGCUGUCUGGAAGUGGCUGACUUCCGUCUUUCCCUGUGGGGCCAAUGGGUGCACAGAAAUGGACAAUCACUCUGUGGAUUUGUCUCUCUCUGUUGUGGAGACCCGACCAGAACCAGUCCAGAGUUCAGUGCGUCCAUGUCCAUUCACUCACUGAGGAUGAUGAGGAUGAUGAUGCCUCAUGAAAAUGCACUUUUUUUCUUGACUUUCUUUGAAAUGGUUUCUGUGGUCAUUUAUUAAAAGGGUGAUUAUAAGGACCUGUGCCUUUAAAGAAACUAUGUUUGUGAAAGAAAAUUGCUUGUAGAAAAGACCCUGACGAUCAGCUUGUGAACACCUGACUUGCUACUGAGCAUUUGGACUGUAUGCAAUGACUCAUGCUUCCUCUUGAACUGAGACGUCGAAACAACAUUUUGUUUUUUGAUUUUGUGAGAAAAUUGUUUCUCACUUUGUUACUUAUCAGAAGUAACAGCACAAAGCUCUUUGUGACUUUUGGAUGGGAGACGCAUUACUAAUAAUGUUAAGUGAAGUGAAAAUCAUGGACUUGGCAACCCUGGCUGGAACUAAGUUCAUAUAACUUAUGCACAAUAUUAUCAGGGUACAUAUUAACCACAAUUUUGUUUCUUGUCAGAUUGCUGAAAGACUGUUAUUGCAUUGUAGUUAGGUAGACUGUAGCUUUAAAUUUUCACAGAUGCUUUACAAUUUUGUGUGCAAUAUAAAUCAGAUGUCAAAU